UACGUAGGGGGCAAGCGUUAUCCGGAUUUACUGGGUGUAAAGGAAGCGUAGACGGCAUGGCAAGUCAGAUGUGAAAGCCCGGGGCUCAACCCCGGGACUGCAUUUGAAACUGUCAGGCUGGAGUGCAGGAGAGGUAAGUGGAGUUCCUAGUGUAGCGGUGAAAUGCGUAGAUAUUAGGAGGAACACCAGUGGCGAAGACGGCUUACUGGACUGUAACUGACGUUGAGGCUCGAAAGCGUGGGGAGCAAACAGG
rnacentral:rRNA from 1 species